CGGUUUAGGUAAAGUGUGGUAGGGUGAAAGCCUACCAAGACGAUGAUGUUUAGCGGGGCCAAGAGGUUGUACCGCCACACUGGGAUUGAGAUACGGCCCAGACUCCUACGGGAGGCAGCAGUAAGGAAUAUUCCACAAUAAGCGAAAGCUUGAUGGAGCGACACAGCGUGCAGGAUGAAGUCUUUCGGGAUGUAAACUGCUGUUGUAAGGGAAGAAAAAACUAGAUAGGAAAUGCUCUAGUCUUGACGGUACCUUAUUAGAAAGCGACGGCAAACUAUGUGCCAGCAGCCGCGGUAAUACAUAGGUCGCAAGCGUUAUCCGGAAUUAUUGGGCGUAAAGCGUCCGUAGGUUUUUUGUUAAGUUUAAAGUUAAAUGCUAAAGCUCAACUUUAGUCCGCUUUAGAUACUGGCAAAAUAGAAUUAUGAAGAGGUUAGCGGAAUUCCUAGUGGAGUGGUGGAAUACGUAGAUAUUAGGAAGAACACCAAUAGGCGAAGGCAGCUAACUGGUCAUAUAUUGACACUAAGGGACGAAAGCGUGGGGAGCAAACAGGAUUAGAUACCCUGGUAGUCCACGCCGUAAACGAUGAUCAUUAGUUGGUGGCAAGAGACAUCAAAAAACAAAGAAAAAAA
rnacentral:rRNA from 2 species